rnacentral:rRNA from 1 species
AUUGAACGCUGGCGGCAUGCCUUACACAUGCAAGUCGAACGGCAGCACGGGUGCUUGCACCUGGUGGCGAGUGGCGAACGGGUGAGUAAUACAUCGGAACAUGUCCUGUAGUGGGGGAUAGCCCGGCGAAAGCCGGAUUAAUACCGCAUACGAUCCACGGAUGAAAGCGGGGGACCUUCGGGCCUCGCGCUAUAGGGUUGGCCGAUGGCUGAUUAGCUAGUUGGUGGGGUAAAGGCCUACCAAGGCGACGAUCAGUAGCUGGUCUGAGAGGACGACCAGCCACACUGGGACUGAGACACGGCCCAGACUCCUACGGGAGGCAGCAGUGGGGAAUUUUGAACAAUGGGCGAAAGCCUGAUCCAGCAAUGCCGCGUGUGUGAAGAAGGCCUUCGGGUUGUAAAGCACUUUUGUCCGGAAAGAAAUCCUUGGCUCUAAUACAGUCGGGGGAUGACGGUACCGGAAGAAUAAGCACCGGCUAACUACGUG